UACGAAGGGGGCUAGCGUUGCUCGGAAUCACUGGGCGUAAAGCGCACGUAGGCGGCUUUUUAAGUCAGGGGUGAAAUCCUGGAGCUCAACUCCAGAACUGCCUUUGAUACUGAGAAGCUUGAGUCCGGGAGAGGUGAGUGGAACUGCGAGUGUAGAGGUGAAAUUCGUAGAUAUUCGCAAGAACACCAGUGGCGAAGGCGACUACCUGGCCUGUUCUUGACGCUGAGGCGCGAAAGCUAGGGGAGCAACGGG
rnacentral:rRNA from 1 species